AUUGAACGCUGGCGGCAGGCCUAACACAUGCAAGUCGAGCGGAUGAAGGGAGCUUGCUCCUGGAUUCAGCGGCGGACGGGUGAGUAAUGCCUAGGAAUCUGCCUGGUAGUGGGGAUAACGUCCGGAAACGGGCGCUAAUACCGCAUACGUCCUGAGGGAGAAAGUGGGGGAUCUUCGGACCUCACGCUAUCAGAUGAGCCUAGGUCGGAUUAGCUAGUUGGUGGGGUAAAGGCCUACCAAGGCGACGAUCCGUAACUGGCCUGAGAGGAUGAUCAGUCACACUGGAACUGAGACACGGUCCAGACUCCUACGGGAGGCAGCAGUGGGGAAUAUUGGACAAUGGGCGAAAGCCUGAUCCAGCCAUGCCGCGUGUGUGAAGAAGGUCUUCGGAUUGUAAAGCACUUUAAGUUGGGAGGAAGGGCAGUAAGUUAAUACCUUGCUGUUUUGACGUUACCAACAGAAUAAGCACCGGCUAACUUCGUG
rnacentral:rRNA from 1 species